UCCGCUGAACUCGCCGCUCGGUCAGAGAGUUUCAUUGCUGCAGCAUCUCAUGGCGCUCGCUGUCGUGGAGUCUGUGCACAUGCUGCCGGGAUACGAGGUUCUUGAUUGUGGAACAGAAUCUGUGUUUGUGAUGGUUGAGUUUGAUUGAGGUGAAACUGCUCGUACAUCCUGAUGUUUGAUGCUCUGAGAUGAUGAGGUUUGUGUGAGGUUAGGGUAACGAUCUCCAGGAGAGGUCCUCACCAGCUCCAAAAGUCUGUGCGGUUUCCUGCUCGUGUUCAGGUUCACCUCAUCUGUCUCCAGCACCUCGAGCUUCAGUCUCGUCCUGAUGAGGUGAAAAUAUUCCUGUGAGCAUCUUGACCCAUCGGAGAUCUUUCACCUCAUUACAAACACAUCUGCGUGAUGACGUCUGAAGCCGCUUCUCUCACGUGCUUUAUUGAGACCCUCAAGUGUUCUUCAGAAGCCGCUUGGACACAUUUAUCAAUAAAAGGGGUUUAAAUGAAAUGCCUACGUAAGCGCUCUCUGCCUUUAAAAAUCAUUUAAGCAAAUAGCUCACCUCGGAUCCAUAAAUGCCACAUCCACAAUAUCCUGUUAAACAAUUUCAGCAGGAGGGUCUCUAGAGGUCAAAGCGAACCUAUCAUCUAUAAUAUUGGCUGCAUAAUACCAUAUUCCAAUCUCCUGCCCCCAGAGACCCGCUGGAUCCCCUUCAGACUCAUAAACAAACAGAGAGAUGUGGAGUCUCCAGAGGAGCAUCACAGACUCAUCAGGGGAAUGGAUUGACAGAUCACAAACACAAUCACUCGUGUCAACUCACGUUUAUUCAGAUUCAAAGCAAAGCAGUCAUUUCAGUUUCAUUUAAAGUCAUUAAACAUCCUUUGCAUAUGUUCAACUCUUGAUUUGCACCAUAAAUAAUCCAGCUGCAAUGUGAGACACUUCAGUAAAUAUGCUCAGCACUUGUUUGAUAUCUGCAUCAUUGAUGAGCCGGUUGGGAACAUAUUCAACUUUUGUUUUGUUUUUGUCUGCGCGGGUCAAAAAUGUCCACAGAAACAAAUUCCCAAUCAUUGACCAGUCUGAAACACGGAGUUCAGAGUUCAUGUUAAGGAGAAGUGCUUCAUUUUAUGUUCUGCACUUAUAUAGCGCUUUUAUUUACC